AGGUGGGAGGGUGGUUUGAGCCUGGGAGGUGGAGGUUGCAGUGAGCUAAGAUCAAGCCACUGCACUCCAGCCUGGGCAACAGAGUCAGACCCUGUCUC
rnacentral:miRNA from 1 species